rnacentral:rRNA from 1 species
CCCUUAGAUGUUCUGGGCUGCACACGUGCUACACUGGCAGGUUCAGCGAGCUUCAUGCCCUGAUCUGAAAGGAAUGGGAAAUCUUUUCAAAACCUGCCGUGCUUGGGAUAGAUGUUUGCAAUUAUUCAUCUUCAACGAGGAUUGCCUUGUAAGCGCACGUCAUCAGCGUGCAUUGAAUACGACCCUGUAUUCUGUACACACCGCCCGUCGCUCCUACCGAUUGAGUGGUCCGGUGAGGCUUUGGGAUCUGAGCGGAAAGAGCGUUUCGCUGUUUCUGCCCGGAAAACUCAGUCGAACCUUAUCAUUUAGAGGAAGGAGAAGUCGUAACA